GUUAAGCGACUAAGCGUACACGGUGGAUGCCCUGGCAGUCAGAGGCGAUGAAGGACGUGCUAAUCUGCGAUAAGCGUCGGUAAGGUGAUAUGAACCGUUAUAACCGGCGAUUUCCGAAUGGGGAAACCCAGUGUGUUUCGACACACUAUCAUUAACUGAAUCCAUAGGUUAAUGAGGCGAACCGGGGGAACUGAAACAUCUAAGUACCCCGAGGAAAAGAAAUCAACCGAGAUUCCCCCAGUAGCGGCGAGCGAACGGGGAGCAGCCCAGAGCCUGAAUCAGUGUGUGUGUUAGUGGAAGCGUCUGGAAAGGCGCGCGAUACAGGGUGACAGCCCCGUACACAAAAAUGCACAUGCUGUGAGCUCGAUGAGUAGGGCGGGACACGUGGUAUCCUGUCUGAAUAUGGGGGGACCAUCCUCCAAGGCUAAAUACUCCUGACUGACCGAUAGUGAACCAGUACCGUGAGGGAAAGGCGAAAAGAACCCCGGCGAGGGGAGUGAAAAAGAACCUGAAACCGUGUACGUACAAGCAGUGGGAGCACGCUUAGGCGUGUGACUGCGUACCUUUUGUAUAAUGGGUCAGCGACUUAUAUUCUGUAGCAAGGUUAACCGAAUAGGGGAGCCGAAGGGAAACCGAGUCUUAACUGGGCGUUAAGUUGCAGGGUAUAGACCCGAAACCCGGUGAUCUAGCCAUGGGCAGGUUGAAGGUUGGGUAACACUAACUGGAGGACCGAACCGACUAAUGUUGAAAAAUUAGCGGAUGACUUGUGGCUGGGGGUGAAAGGCCAAUCAAACCGGGAGAUAGCUGGUUCUCCCCGAAAGCUAUUUAGGUAGCGCCUCGUGAAUUCA
rnacentral:rRNA from 1 species